AGUUUUGCAGGUUUGCAUCCAGCUGUAUGGUACUCUGCUGUGCAAAUCCAUGCAAAACUGA
rnacentral:pre_miRNA from 1 species